rnacentral:rRNA from 1 species
UACGUAGGACGCAAGCGUUGUCCGGAAUCACUGGGCGUAAAGCGCGUGUAGGCGGACCCGCAAGUCUGCUGUGAAAGCCCCCGGCUCAACUGGGGGAGGUCGGUGGAAACUGCGGAUCUCGAGGCCGGUAGAGGGGGGUGGAAUUCCUGGUGUAGCGGUGAAAUGCGCAGAUAUCAGGAGGAACACCGGUGGCGAAGGCGGGUCUCUGGGCCGAUACUGACGCUGAGGAGCGAAAGCGUGGGGAGCGAACAGG